rnacentral:rRNA from 1 species
GACAGAGGGUGCAAACGUUGUUCGGAAUUACUGGGCGUAAAGCGCGUGUAGGCGGCUUGGCAAGUCGGGUGUGAAAGCCCUGGGCUCAACCUAGGAAGUGCACUCGAAACUGCUUCGCUGGAGUGUCGGAGAGGAAAGCGGAAUUCUCGGUGUUGAGGUGAAAUUCGUAGAUAUCGAGAGGAACAUCGGUGGCGAAGGCGGCUUUCUGGACGAUUACUGACGCUGAGACGCGAAAGCGUGGGGAGCAAACAGG